GACGAGGGGUCCUAGCGUUGUUCGGAAUCACUGGGCGUAAAGCGUAUGUAGGCGGGCUUCUAAGUCAGGUGUGAAAUCCCAUGGCUCAACCAUGGAAUUGCAUUUGAAACUGGAAGUCUUGAAUGUGGGAGAGAUUGGUAGAAUACCUGGUGUAGUGGUGAAAUACGUAGAUAUCAGGAGGAACACCAAUGGCGAAGGCAGCUCGCUGGGACGGUACUGACGCUGAGACGCGAAAGCGUGGGGAGCAAACAGG
rnacentral:rRNA from 1 species